rnacentral:rRNA from 1 species
ACGAGAAUAUUCCGCAAUGGACGAAAGUCUGACGGAGCGACGCCGCGUGAUGGAUGAAGUGCCUUGGUACGUAAACAUCUUUUAUCGGGGACGAAGUUUAUUGACGGUACCCGAUGAAUAAGGAGCUCCUAACUCUGUGCCAGCAGGAGCGGUAAUACAGAGGCUCCAAGCAUUACCCGGAAUCACUGGGCGUAAAGGGUGUCUAGGCGGCCAUAUUAGUCUCUCGUUAAAUGUCCGAGCUCAACUUGGUCACUGCGAGGGAAACGGUAUGGCUCGAGGGCGUGAGAGGUGCAUGGAACUCAUGGUGGAGGGGUGAAAUCCGUUGAUAUCAUGGGGAACACCAAAGGCGAAGGCAGCGCACUGGCCAAAAUCUGACGCUCACACACGAAAGCUAGGGUAGCGAAGAGGAUUAGAUACCCCCGUAGUCCCUG